rnacentral:rRNA from 1 species
CCUACGGGUGGCAGCAGUGAGGAAUAUUGGUCAAUGGACGAGAGUCUGAACCAGCCAAGCCGCGUGAAGGAUGACUGCACUAUGGGUUGUAAACUUCUUUUGUAUGGGAAUAAAAUCUGCCACGUGUGGCUGUUUGUAUGUACCUUAUGAAUAAGCAUCGGCUAACUCCGUGCCAGCAGCCGCGGUAAUACGGAGGAUCCGAGCGUUAUCCGGAUUUAUUGGGUUUAAAGGGAGCGUAGGCGGUUUGUUAAGUCAGAUGUGAAAGUUCGCGGCUCAACCGCAGAAGUGCCGUUGAGACUGGCAGUCUUGAGUACAGUAGAGGUAGGCGGAAUGCGUGGUGUAGCGGUGAAAUGCAUAGAUAUCGCGCAGAACUCCGAUUGCGAAGGCAGCUUACGGCACCGCUACUGACGCUGAGGCUCGAAAGUGUGGGUAUCAAACAGGAUUAGAUACCCCUGUAGUC